rnacentral:rRNA from 1 species
GGUACACACCGCCCGUCAAGUCCACCUGAAUUGUCUUCACCCGAAGUCCGUAGGCUUAACCGCAAGGAAAGAGCGGACCGAAGGUGAGGGGGUAAGGGGACU